CCUACGGGUGGCAGCAGUGGGGAAUAUUGCACAAUGGGGGAAACCCUGAUGCAGCGACGCCGCGUGAGUGAAGAAGUAUUUCGGUAUGUAAAGCUCUAUCAGCAGGGAAGAAGAAAGACGGUACUUUAACAAGAAGCCCCGGCUAACUACGUGCCAGGAGCCGCGGUAAGACGCAGGGAGCCAGCGUUAUCCGGAUUUACUGGGGUUAAAGGGAGAGUAGGCGGCUGGGCAAGUCUGAAGUGAAAGCCCAGGGCUCAACCCUGGGACUGCUUUUGAAACUGGGGAGCUAGAGUGCUGGAGAGGUAAGUGGAAUUCCUGGUGUAGCGGUGAAAUGCGUAGAUAUUAGGAGGAACACCAGUGGCGAAGGCGGCUUACUGGACAGUAACUGACGUUGAGGCUCGAAAGCGUGGGGAGCAAACAGGAUUAGAUACCCUUGUAGUC
rnacentral:rRNA from 1 species